rnacentral:piRNA from 1 species
GACUUCAUACCUAGGCAUCGAUUCCUAGA